rnacentral:rRNA from 1 species
UGGGGAAUAUUGCACAAUGGGGGGAACCCUGAUGCAGCCAUGCCGCGUGAAUGAAGAAGGCCUUCGGGUUGUAAAGUUCUUUCGGUGACGAGGAAGGUUGAUAGGUUAAUAGCCUAUCAAAUUGACGUUAAUCACAGAAGAAGCACCGGCUAACUCCGUGCCAGCAGCCGCGGUAAUACGGGGGGUGCGAGCGUUAAUCGGAAUAACUGGGCGUAAAGGGCACGCAGGCGGUGACUUAAGUGAGAUGUGAAAGCCCCGAGCUUAACUUGGGAAUUGCAUUUCAUACUGGGUCGCUAGAGUACUUUAGGGAGGGGUAGAAUUCCACGUGUAGCGGUGAAAUGCGUAGAGAUGUGGAGGAAUACCGAAGGCGAAGGCAGCCCCUUGGGAAUGUACUGACGCUCAUGUGCGAAAGCGUGGGGAGCAAACAGGAUUAGAUACCCUGGUAGUCCACGCUGUAAACGAUGUCGAUUUGGGGAUUGGGCUUUGAGCUUGGUGCCCGUAGCUAACGUGAUAAAUCGACCGCCUGGGGAGUGCGGCCGCAAGGUUA